GCGGAUGAUGAUAUUUUUUAACUCGUAGUCACUGUUGUGGCGUUGAAGAUCAAAAACUAGCAACAACAAACACUCUAAUUUUUUGCUGACC
rnacentral:snoRNA from 19 species